rnacentral:rRNA from 1 species
UACGUAGGGGGCAAGCGUUGUCCGGAUUUAUUGGGCGUAAAGAGCGUGUAGGCGGCUAGAUAGGUCCGUUGUGAAAACUCGAGGCUCAACCUCGAGACGUCGAUGGAAACCAUCUAGCUAGAGUCCGGAAGAGGAGAGUGGAAUUCUCGGUGUAGCGGUGAAAUGCGUAGAUAUCGAGAGGAACACCUGCGGCGAAGGCGGGUUGCUGGGCCGACACUGACGCUGAUGCGCGAAAGCGUGGGGAGCAAACAGG